GACAGAGGCCUCGAGCGUUAGGCGGAAUCACUGGGCUUAAAGCGUGUGUAGGCGGAUGCCUAAGUACCUUGUGAAAUCCCCACGGCUCACCCGUGGAACCGCUGGGUAUACUGGGCAUCUUGGCCAUUCAGGGGCAACUGGAACAAGCGGUGGAGCGGUGAAAUGCGUAGAUAUCGCUUGGAACGCCGACGGUGAAAACAGGUUGCUGGGAAUGUGCCGACGCUGAGACGCGAAAGCCAGGGGAGCAAACGGG
rnacentral:rRNA from 1 species